GGAAGAAUGGGGGAAAGAAAGGCAGACAUUCUAGUCAGUGUGAAAACCAUAGCAUAUCAAGUAAUUACUAUAAUGAUGGAAAUAGCUGGGUUGUAAUGAAAAAAAAAAUCAUCUUGAAUUGAAGCCUGAGCUCCUGCUGGCCUAGGCUGCUAAUGCCUUCUGCAACUGUAAAAUUUGGCUGCAGCCACGCAAUCCAAUACUGGUGAGAAAACACAGAGGUUUUGCCUGCCAUUGCAAUGAGCAAAAGAAGAAGAAGAUAAAUAACCAGGGCAUGAAGAUAAAUAAGACAUGUUUCUGCCUUCUUCCUCUUCUUUUCUGCCAUGAAUCAAGAAUGUGAAUGACAUUGUCCUUCGAUGCCAAGAAAAACAUUAUAGAAUGUAUUAAGCCAUGGGAGCAUUGGCUUACAGUGACGCUGCAUACUAUGACCUGUGUUAGCUCCAAGCAAAAAACCUUCUGUCAUAAGGAAUUCUGCAUUACGGGCUCAGUCUAAUGGAAAGUGCACGCCCCAUUGGAAUGAAUGCAACAGUUGCAGAAAACAAUCAGCCCCACCAAACCCAUGGAACAGGUGUUAUGUGGGCUUGCAGAUCUGAAGAGGCUGAAAAGUAUUGGUGUUGACUAAAUCAAUAUGGCAGUAUUAUAUGAAGAGGCGACCAAUGCAUUCUAUCACUCUCACAACCACUCCCUAAUGGAAAGGUCAGCUGGGCUUAACUGAAUACAACACAUUCUAAACAUGCAGCCAGAAAAAAAAUUAAACCAUCUAUCACAAUUA